AACGAACGCUGGCGGCAUGCCUAACACAUGCAAGUCGAACGAGACCUUCGGGUCUAGUGGCGCACGGGUGCGUAACGCGUGGGAACCUGCCCUUAGGUUCGGAAUAACUCCCCGAAAGGGGUGCUAAUACCGGAUAAUGUCUUCGGACCAAAGAUUUAUCGACUUUGGAUGGGCCCGCGUUGGAUUAGCUAGUUGGUAGGGUAAAAGCCUACCAAGGCGACGAUCCAUAGCUGGUCUGAGAGGCUGAUCAGCCACACUGGGACUGAGACACGGCCCAGACUCCUACGGGAGGCAGCAGUGGGGAAUAUUGGACAAUGGGCGAAAGCCUGAUCCAGCAAUGCCGCGUGAGUGAUGAAGGCCUUAGGGUUGUAAAGCUCUUUUACCCGGGAUGAUAAUGACAGUACCGGGAGAAUAAGCUCCGGCUAACUCCGUG
rnacentral:rRNA from 1 species